rnacentral:rRNA from 1 species
CCUACGGGAGGCAGCAGUGGGGGAUCUUGCACAAUGGGGGGAACCCUGAUGCAGCGACGCCGCGUGGGUGAAGGAGCGUUUCGGCGCGUAAAGCCCUAUCGGCAGGGAAGAAGGAGGACGGUACCUGACUAAGAAGCCCCGGCUAACUACGUGCCAGCAGCCGCGGUAAUACGUAGGGGGCAAGCGUUAUCCGGAUUUACUGGGUGGAAAGGGGGCGCAGACGGGAGCGCAAGCCAGGAGUGAAAGCCCGGGACCCAACCCCGGGACUGCGCGUGGAACUGCGCGGCUGGAGGGCAGGAGGGGCAGGCGGAAUUCCCGGUGUAGCGGGGAAAUGCGGAGAGAUCAGGAGGAACACCGGUGGCGAAGGCGGCCUGCUGGACUGCGACUGACGUUGAGGCCCGAAAGCGGGGGGAGCAAACAGGAUAAGAUACCCCUGUAGUC